CCAAUGUAUUCUCGCUGCCUUCUAGAUAAUUUAUUUUGCCACACAUUACUGCACAGUUGUAAAUAACUUAUGUACUGUAACAUCACUCAGUUAAGAGUAAAAAAAUAAAUGAAUAAAAGUUAUCAUUGUAUGUACAGUUCACUUUCGGGCAGCACUUCCCCCUCACCCCAACAUCCCCCACCAAACAAACACACCACCCCCCGGCCAAAAGGUGUACGCAUCGUCAGUAUUUUCAAGACUUCCAUGCAGUGGUCCUUAAGGUUUCUGUCCAAGGCUAGUCAAAGUAAAUCUAGAUCGUCAUCACCACCGUCAUUAGGAAACACCAUUUCUCCUGAUUACUCUGUCAGGGCCAGGACCAUAGUUUUCAGAUGUAGCAGAGUGAUUAUGGAUUUAUUUAAAGAAUAGUAGAGGUAUAUUAUUCAUCGUUUUAUUACACAAGUAUAUAUCUUUAAAAAGUAUAAACCAAGAAAAUGCCUUUAUACAGUUAACGUCUCUGAUUUCUUCUAAAGCUGCACAAGUCAUAGGUAGGAAAGGACGUGAUUUGGAGCCUGCUUCAUUUGGGUCUGUCUAAAUAUAAAAGCACGCCAUGAACGGUGUAGUACAUAUUUGAAUUUAUUACCCAUUGUACAAUUAGAAUCAUGGAAGUUUUUGUUUUGUGUGUCAUGCCCUCUGAUCAUGUUACAUUCGUUUUUAAGACACGAAACUGCACAUUUCUUUUAAUCCCCCUCACAUACCCUCUCUUCAGCACUAUACGACCGUUCUGAAAGAUCUUAGCAAUUAGGAGUUUGGACAUUUUUCUGCUUUUCUCUUAUUUUUUUAAAUGUUCGGUUUUACAAAAGCGAGGUUCUAAAUAUUAUCUGCAAAUAAAAGAAAAUGCAUUAUUGCAUCAGACAAACGUUUUGCAUUUGUUCACUCAGUCGCUAAGCAAUUUUUAAUUUGUCGUUAAUUUGUGUUCUCGGCACCCUCCGUUAUUAGCAACGUACUGAUACGGACUUUUACAGAUCAUUAUGGCAGAACAAAACAUGCACACCUCCGUUCCUGGACUAUUUGUAUACAUGGGCUCUCUGACUGUUUUUCCAUAUUUAACAUUCUUGUGAAUCUCCCGUCACAGUAUUUUUUUUUUUUUUUAAUGCACCAAUGUCAGUUAUUCUCGGAUUUUGGUUUAUCCUUCACCAUCUGAUUACAUUUUACAGUACAUUUAGAUGUUUAAAUUCAUCAAUAAACAGGGGACAAGCAAGGUUGUUUUUUUUUUCUUAUAGAGGGUUUAUUUUUAAUUAUUAGAUAUCGUUUUUUGGGGUGAGUGGAAAUUGAAAUGUGUUUUGAUAUUUUACCCUUUCUCAUUACAUGCCUGUACUUCAGUGUGAGGCUGUGUGAUGUUUGCUUAACCAUCCAGGCUAGUGUUUUUUUUGUUGUUCCAUGUGAGGUUGUGAGUCUGUGAAAAUCCCACAUGACGCAGUUCUGUAUGUGUGCAUUGAGUCUGGGUGCAACAGGUGUCACUAGUUCCACAGGUGAUUGUUCCUGGUAUUUUGUGAGUACUGUGCAGUGCAAAACAAACAGAUUCUUCCGAGUGCAUAAUAUGAAUAGCUUUCUGUUCAGAUUAUGUUCACUUUUAGUGCUUUCUUUUGUGUUGUGUGGUUUCUCUAACAAAAUUUCAGAUAAGCGCUUUUGCUGUUAUUAGGUGCAUUUUUUCCCCCCAUGGAACCGAAAUAGUGACUUGUUCAUCAAAUGGUUUAUGUAUCAUCCCUAAGCCCCUGUAUACUUGGUGUUUACACGAUGAUAUGUGAAUUUCCACUGUCCUCUGACCUGUUGAAAACGUUUUGGGUUCCCACAACUGAUUCAAUUUAAAAAGGCUUGAAAUUGUUAUUUGCAUUUGAGCUUUACUAUUCAGCACUCUCAAGCCAUAAAACCAUUGAACUUUUAUUUCAUAAUCAUUCUAAAUAUACUGUAUUGGGACUUACUGAUCAUGAGAUUGGACAACAGAAAUCUUGCAUAUGCUUGCCUGUUGACUCACUGACCUCUGUCUGCAACACAUUACCUCUACCAAGUACACUGAUUAUUCCAUUUAGUGAUGGGAUAGAUUGUGCUGAGCCACAAUUUCAAGCCUUGUUUUAACAAUUUUUCCUCAGUAUCCACAAAUCCAACAGAUGAUUCUUGAAAUGGAACUGAACUCCUCUUACUCAUGUUGAACUCUUCAUAAAUAGUGAGAAAUAACCUAUUUAUUAUCUUUCUGACACCUGUGGUAUGUUUGAGUUGAAGGUCUCCGCUGUGUAAAUUUUCCUCUUGUAAUGUGUAAACGAGACGUUGUACAUAACUGUAAAUAAUAUUCCAGGACGUUUUGCACCCUCCUCUUUGUACUAGUCUAAACUUGCGUAGAAUGUGAGGUUCUAACAGCAACGAGACGUGUCGCGCUCGCUGCCGGUGAUGUAACAAUGUAUCUUUUUUUAUUUGUACAAUGUAGUUCAAUUGUGUACAUAUUGUUGGAGCAGCUAUGGGAGGGAGGGGUUUGUUGAUGCUAUCGUCAGUGCUGUCGAAGAUCCAGUACUUUCACCUUUAGCUGUGUUGAUAUCCUGCAAUUCAAAAGGCGAGAAACUAAAAAUACAAAAAAUCAACAACAAAAAAAACCUUAACGGAGAGGAAAAAUUCAAAAUUGUUAUUUUCUACACUUGCAUGUACAGAGAGCGCGAGAACUGCUGUUGUUCCUCAGAGAUUAUGUUCAUAAAUACAUUUUUGAAAUGA